rnacentral:lncRNA from 1 species
CUCCCUUGCAAUUUACAGGCCAGUGAUAAAGUUGAAAUCAAUCAUUGUAGAUCAAAUUUCUUGGAGUUUUAGAGAUCAAACUCUCAACGUAUUGAAGCAUAACUCCCUAGAAAAUGAAAAAAUUAAGAAGAUUGAAAGGAUGACUCCAUUAACACACAAAUAAUCCUCAAGCACCAUUGUUUUUCAUCAAAGGGCAAUGAUCCCCUGUGGGAAGUCACCUAGAAUAAAAAUCGAGGGCGUAAGAAGAUCAGAUACCAUCCAAACAAAAAAAUUGAAUACGAAAAAGUAAAAAUGUCCAUGUAAAACUACAAUCUCGUUUAGAGGGGCAACCCAAUUCAGGCUCAGAAGUUGAAACUACUGUAUUAACAACCCAAAGGAGAAGUUAAGCAAUUUAACAACACAACAUAGUACUGACAAUCAAUUGUUUACUCAAAUUUCAGCAGUAAGAAAGGUAUUUAUAGUAAAUUUAUGAAGUAUUUUGAUGGUAUCCAUCUUCUUUUUCAAUUUGUAACUGUUUGCUAACUUGUAGAUUGAUGGAAUCACACUUGGAAAAGGAAUGAAUUUCAAAUAUGAAGUUUUGAAGAUCCACUCUGCCAUACAUGUAAAUAUUACCAUCAUAAGCAGCAACCAAAUUAAUCAUAAAGUAGUAAUACUAAUAAUUUAUCUGUGCAGGUCAAAUUUUUGAUAACAAAUGAGAGAGCACUUACAUGUGAAGAGAAGUGCAACCACGCUUGAGAGGCAAAACUCUUUUAGCGCCAGAUGUGUAGAUACCUAUAAUUUCUAAUGAUCAAAGUAUGAGCACCUAAUCCAAAAAAAUGUGUACAAUCAAGUAAAUUUUAUGUAUUUCGAUAAACAACACACAAAUUUAACAGCCAAGGAGAUAAUUUCCAUGAAAUUGUUUGGGGAAAGAUCACAUCUGUUAUUUCUGGAAAAAGCUCCACGAAUAUGUUCACUCUUCAACUUUAUCACCUCUGUCAACAACAACAACAACAUACCCAGUGUAGUCCCACAACUUGAUUGUCUAUGUCAAAUAGAGAUAUAUAUGUUUUCUCUCCACACUUAAGAAUCCAAAUGAACCAAAAGGAAAAAUCAGCUAGUAAAAAUUUGAAUUAUCUUUCAUGAAAUGUUUAAAUAACAAAUUUACUAAAGUAUUCUUGCAUAUAGAUCAAGUAUUAACCAUAUUUCUAGUGAGUUGCUGAGACUCGCACACAAAGGGAGAAUCAUGUUCAUCUAUGUCAUUACAAACAUACAGAGCAUCAAACUAUGAACACAAUGCUUUUGUGUCAUGAAUUUGUAGAUGCACUUCUCCUUGUUCUUUUGGUAAUCUUCACUGAAGAGUUGCUUUUCUUAUGAAAGCUUUUCAUUCAUCGAAAAUAUCUAUAUUCUUAAUAAAUAAAGGUACCAAUAUCUCAAAUAAUAAGAUAACACUUGUAUUGUUGAUGUGGCUUUCUAUCAUGUGUUUUGAGUUUAACCACAGGUUCUAAACUUCAUAAGACAGGUUAAUUCUCUUGCAAAAAUAAUUGAGAUGGCGUAAGAGGCUAGGGUAUAAAACUCAAAGGAUUGCUAACGUGGUGAACUCCCAGGAAGACACUUAAGGAACAUAAUAACAAAAGAACUAUGAUCAAAAUAAGAGUAUAGUUUUCUCCAAAAAUUCCAAUAAACUUAAAUUAUCAAGAACAAACACAAAACAAAAAAAGAUCCAUAAACAUAAUAAAGAAGCCUAAAGUUAUAGUUUAUCAAUAAAAUAAAAUAAAAAGCCUGAAGUAAUGACUGAAGAUUAUCCUAAGAUAGAGCAAGCUAAUAAAAUAAUGCAUAGUGAUAACUCGACAACCAUAAAUAAGAGAGAACAAAGAAUUCUGACUUGCAUGUUUUAGUAAAUAUUUCAUCAAAUAUAACAAAACAAAAGGCCACAAGGAGUCAUUAGGAUUAUUUGCUAAGGAGACCUAUGACUGGGAGGAUUCUCUAUUUGGUUAAUCAGUUGUACUAAUGCUUCGAUUGCAAAUGAAUUAUCUUACAUGUAAAGUCUAAGACAAAUUUAAAAGAUGAUAUGUUAGAAGCUCAAGUAAAGUCUAGUUGCAAAAUAUAGAUAAGUAGGAAGAUAAAUUUAAUAGUAGAAUAAUCAAUUACCUUUUAUUUGUCUAUAAUGUGCACGAUAACAUGGACAUUGGGUAGGUUAACAGCAAGCCAGUAUCUCACGGAUCAAAUUGCAAGCGGUGUUAAAUUUACCUGGACACAGAUCCACAACUAAAUCUUGAUAUCCUCACGGGUGGUCUCUAUUGCAGGUAACAAAAUCUUCUAUCGACGGUUAAAAAUGGACUUGAAAGUAACAGACUAUCACUAUGAGCUACUCUAGUAGUCAAACCUGAUAAAACCUGAAACCUUAGGAUAAACAUCUCGAAAUUCGACCAUUACAUAUGCAAUCGAGCUAACUGCAGAGGCAGAGGAGAACUUCCCUAAAAAUCCUAGAAUGCAUCAUCUGACCAGUAAUGACAAUAAUAUGAUUUCUCUUGAGCUCCUUAGGAAGUUGGUCGUGGAAUUCAACAAAAAAAUAAAGUGAAAACUUAAACGACGACGAUCCUUAAAGCUUCAAACUUCAUAGCAAAGCCUGAUAAGUCUAUGAAUGACUAAUAUUGUCUUAAAUUGAAAUAAACUCAGGGAUAAACAACAAGCAUGAACAAAGAGAGCUUACAAAAUAGUUAUAUUUUUUGCUCUUCGCAACUGAGACUGUGAAUUAUCAUCAAGAUCUUUAUGAGUUUUGUCGUGAAGCCAAUUUCAAUUUUACUUUGAGAAUCAAGACUCCAUUUUCCAUAUGCAGUGUAU